rnacentral:rRNA from 1 species
AGCGAACGCUGGCGGCAGGCUUAACACAUGCAAGUCGAGCGGGCACUUCGGUGUCAGCGGCAGACGGGUGAGUAACACGUGGGAACGUACCCUUUGGUUCGGAAUAACGCUGGGAAACUAGCGCUAAUACCGGAUACGCCCUUUUGGGGAAAGGCUUGCUGCCGAAGGAUCGGCCCGCGUCUGAUUAGCUAGUUGGUGGGGUAAUGGCCUACCAAGGCGACGAUCAGUAGCUGGUCUGAGAGGAUGAUCAGCCACACUGGGACUGAGACACGGCCCAGACUCCUACGGGAGGCAGCAGUGGGGAAUAUUGGACAAUGGGCGCAAGCCUGGUCCAGCCAUGCCGCGUGAGUGAUGAAGGCCUUAGGGUUGUAAAGCUCUUUUGUCCGGGACGAUAAUGACGGUACCGGAAGAAUAAGCCCCGGCUAACUUCGUG